CACUGAGAGGAGUCUGGGGGCGAGCGUUGAGUCCAGAGUCAGUGACUGUGGAUCAGUGGUGAGUAGGGGUGUGUAUGCGCGCUCCCAGUGACGGCCAGUGUAUGGUGUUGGCGCGUGCCCGUGUAUGGCUAGAAUAGUGAACGGAAUUUUGAGUGAAGAAGCUUACAAUAGUGUGACGCUGAGGUGUGUGACGGGUAGACUGAGCGGCAGGACGCAGGUUCUGUGGUGGUGGUGGUGGUGGGUGUUGCUGCCACUUGGUUUGGGCGAUUCGGAAAGCUCCACUCGACUUCCUUCUCCUCCGCCACUGCCCGGAUCUACCUGACAUUUGGCGGCCGCUGUGUGUGCUCGGCGUCCCCCAGGUGUCUCCCGUGAUCUCCCCGCCACGUCCCGCCACGCUGUAGUCAUUCAGGAUUCCGAUGAUGUGCUUUCAACGGGACUUUAGCCAACCCUUCACCUGACGUCCGCCUGCUCCAGGAUGUGGGAGUGAGCGAUGGCCGCCGCGCUGGUGCCCGAGGUGAAGGUGAUCGCCGACGACGACGAGGAGGCAACCCGCUACCUCGACCCUUCCCUCGGGUCAAUUGGCGGGGGUCGCGGCCCCCUGCUGGCCCCACCCCCUCGCUUCCACCCCGAAGACGAGGAGGAUGACCCGGGUUGGCUGGACCUUACCGACGGCACCGCCUUCGUCGAAUGUCCUGAUCUCCUGCACACCUACACCUCGCUGCGCCCCCGCCCGUCUUACAGGUGUGUGGUGGUAUUAUUAUUAUUAUUAU